AUUGAACGCUGGCGGCAUGCUUUACACAUGCAAGUCGAACGGCAGCGCGGGCUUUGGCCUGGCGGCGAGUGGCGAACGGGUGAGUAAUACAUCGGAACGUGCCCAGUAGUGGGGGAUAGCUCGGCGAAAGCCGGAUUAAUACCGCAUACGACCUGAGGGUGAAAGCGGGGGAUCUUCGGACCUCGCGCUAUUGGAGCGGCCGAUGGCAGAUUAGCUAGUUGGUGGGGUAAAGGCCUACCAAGGCGACGAUCUGUAGCUGGUCUGAGAGGACGACCAGCCACACUGGGACUGAGACACGGCCCAGACUCCUACGGGAGGCAGCAGUGGGGAAUUUUGGGCAAUGGGCGAAAGCCUGAUCCAGCAAUGCCGCGUGUGUGAUGAAGGCCUUCGGGUUGUAAAGCACUUUUGGCGGGAACGAAAAGGACUGUGCCAAUACCACGGUUCGAUGACGGUACCCGCAGAAUAAGCACCGGCUAACUACGUG
rnacentral:rRNA from 1 species